GCUUGGCUGGUCUACCGACGUCUUCGACGAGCGUCCAAGGAAUUCCAGAUUCUAAAAUGAUAAGGGUCAUUUGUUCUGAUGAGAUCGAGACGAAUAAGGACUCGGCGCAGAUGAUUGUCAAUGUUGAUAUGGUGGACACAUUGGAUCAAAUCGGCGGGAGGAUGAAGCUCUUGGACAGCAGCGGAGUGAUGAAAACUCUUCUUCUUGCUGUGGAAGACGCGGGACGAGCGUCCAAUUUGGCGAAAAUGUUUUGGAACUGCGGUCUGCCCGUGCCUCGGCAGAUAAGGAGCUUCCUCGGCCCGGAAUUUCAGUGAAUCGCCGGACUCGGAUACCUACAUUAUCAAGCGGCGGUGGUGUGGAUGGAUACAAAGUCGAGGGCAUCGGCUUCGGAUGAGAUUUGAUUUGGUGGAAUAAAUAAGUAUGUCCUAGUUGUUAAUGUAUGAAGAAGAUGUUCCCUCGUGGGCCGUAUGUCCGAUAGUCGAUUUCUCUCCGUUAUGAUUUGUUUCCCAAGCAUUUUCCUGUAGAUGGACCUUGGCAUAUUUGUACAGAAGAUACUCUGGACGUGAACCUUAUGUUCGAGAUAUGAUCAUUUAUCCGAGCAUCAGAGAGUCCAUUUAGCCGAGUCUCAAUAAAAUAUAAUAUUAUA